rnacentral:rRNA from 1 species
GGGUUGUGAGGUUAAGCGACUAAGCGUACACGGUGGAUGCCCUGGCAGUCAGAGGCGAUGAAGGACGUGCUAAUCUGCGAUAAGCGUCGGUAAGGUGAUAUGAACCGUUAUAACCGGCGAUUUCCGAAUGGGGAAACCCAGUGUGAUUCGUCACACUAUCAUUAACUGAAUCCAUAGGUUAAUGAGGCGAACCGGGGGAACUGAAACAUCUAAGUACCCCGAGGAAAAGAAAUCAACCGAGAUUCCCCCAGUAGCGGCGAGCGAACGGGGAGCAGCCCAGAGCCUGAAUCAGUGUGUGUGUUAGUGGAAGCGUCUGGAAAGGCGCGCGAUACAGGGUGACAGCCCCGUACACAAAAAUGCACAUGCUGUGAGCUCGAUGAGUAGGGCGGGACACGUGGUAUCCUGUCUGAAUAUGGGGGGACCAUCCUCCAAGGCUAAAUACUCCUGACUGACCGAUAGUGAACCAGUACCGUGAGGGAAAGGCGAAAAGAACCCCGGCGAGGGGAGUGAAAAAGAACCUGAAACCGUGUACGUACAAGCAGUGGGAGCACGCUUAGGCGUGUGACUGCGUACCUUUUGUAUAAUGGGUCAGCGACUUAUAUUCUGUAGCAAGGUUAACCGAAUAGGGGAGCCGAAGGGAAACCGAGUCUUAACUGGGCGUUAAGUUGCAGGGUAUAGACCCGAAACCCGGUGAUCUAGCCAUGGGCAGGUUGAAGGUUGGGUAACACUAACUGGAGGACCGAACCGACUAAUGUUGAAAAAUUAGCGGAUGACUUGUGGCUGGGGGUGAAAGGCCAAUCAAACCGGGAGAUAGCUGGUUCUCCCCGAAAGCUAUUUAGGUAGCGCCUCGUGAA